GACACUUUAAUUGUUACUUUAAUUUCUUUAAUAAUUAAUCGCCAUUUUUUUAGAACAAUUUGUUUAAUUUGUUGAUUUGUUCUCCAGUGAUCACGAUUUUUCAUUUUCUCUUUUCUAAUCCAUUUACUUUAUCUUUCAAUUACUUUUGAUUCCAAUUAAUGUAACAAUUGAUUUCUUUUUACUUUAUUGUUUCUCUCCUUCUCUUAGGCUUAUGGAUGAUUUUGGCUUCCUUUCUUAAGUUGACAGAAUUUACUUUUUCCUCCAAUCAAUUAGUCAGAGAAAAUUGGAAAAUUUAAUUCUUCAAUCUCCUUCCUUCAUGGUUAAAUUAUUUACUUCUCCCAUCAAGAUGUCAGAUUAAACGUGAUAAUGGUUGAUUUAUAUCUUAUAUCUACUACUGUGUGUGUGUGUGUGUGUGUCUAUCUACUUAACUCUUUACCUUUAUCACCUUCACCAUCAUAAUCAUCCUGUUGGUAAUCAUAAUUAUUUUGACAACUGAAGUGGUUAAACUACAUUACCAGGUCAUUUAAUGUGCUGUUGUGUAAACACAAUAAAUUUAUUCGGAUGGAUAAUUGGUUAAGCUAAUUUGUGGUUACAGAUUAACAGUUCUCAAGAUGUAUUAUAACUGUCGCUGGAGAAAGAGAAAGAUUGAAGCCAAGAAGAGAAAAGAAAUCAAUUACCAAAGCUGUAAUAACCUUUCAUAUUACAUGGAUUAUAGAAGCAAAAAAAAAAGAAAAAGGAAGAGACCUGUUACCUGGAGAAAUAAUUACUUCUUAAUACCUGUUGAUUUCUAUACAAUCCAUUUUGUAACUUGUCAAUUUAAGAUUGACUGUUAUACUUGUUUGACCAUUUUGUUGUAAUGUGUUGACAAGCUAAUCUAUAAUAAGUGUAGUGUUUGUUUCACAUUAACUCUCGAUUGGUUUUCGCCUAUUUACAAGAUUGUAAUUUCUUCUCUUACCUUAACUAAAAGGUAUGUAUUAAAAUCCAAGCUUCUUACCAAUCCCUAAAUGAUAAUAACAAUAAUUAAAAUAAAAUACAGUGUAACCCAAGUUGAAGGGUGAGGCUUUUUGUGUAUAUCGUCGUUAACAUGGUCUUGAUUAUUAUUAACACUAUCACCAGUAUCAUAAUCAUAAUCAUCAUUAUCAUAGUUACAUAAACAAUUACCCAGGAGAACGGAAAUUCCUCUCGAAAAUUAUAGUGAAUCAGUGAACCAUGUCGAUGAUUUAAUUUGAUGUAAUCAAUUUGCUGACCUUACCUGCAACAGCGGGAUAGGUAAGGCACAUUUGUUACUGUAUUGCCGAUAGUGGAGAAAAGCCAAGACCAAGUGAGAGAGUCAAAAAGAUUGUAGAACGAAAUGAAAAGCGCCCAAACAAAAUGCUAAAACUCAGAAGACUCAAGAAGAGAGAGAGAGGGAAUGAGGAAAGGAAGGAAGAAACAAGAUGUUCUAAUAUAUAAUAAAGAAAGAGAUGAGCUAUUUUUGGAAAGCCCAGCGAAAAUCAUGUCACGACCUAAGGAAAAAAGUAGCCCAGCCCAAGGAUAAGCUCCCAUGAUGGAGGACAUUAUCAAAUGGAAAAUAUAUAGCAGAGAAGUGAAGAUAAACAGUAGAUUGAGUAAAAGAGAAAAAAAUGAAGAAGCAAAUCUUGGUGCCCCUAAUUUCACUCCUGAUGAAGAAGAAAACAGAAGCCAAAAAGAAAAUGAUUAUGAACACCAUCAUCAUCAUCAUCAUCAUCAUUAUCAUCAGCAAGGUAAAGAUAUAAAGCAUAGGGAAUAAGAAAUUAAGGUAAAGAGAAAUGGAUAGAAAAUCAUGUUGGAAGAUAAUUGAUGCUACCGAUCGACUGGUUAAAUGGCCUUUCCCUUCUUCACUCUUAUUUGCUUCUUUAUUUUUUCAUCUUCUAACUUCUGUCGUCCAGACGAAACUUGUGGCAAGGCCUGUACUUUUUCACCACUCAUCAUUAUAACUCACGAUUCGCCUCUCUCCCGAGCUUCUUGUAUUACGAAGAGAUGAAGAAAAAAACAGGGGAGAAUCAUCAUAAUAAUCAUCAACAACAACAACAAAAAAGGUAAGAGAUUGGUAAUACGGUUGCAGAUAAUAUUAACCAUCAUCAUCAUCAUCAUCAUCAUCGUCAUCAUCAUUAUCAUCCAAUGAUUUGGUUAAUCUAAAUUUUAUGAUGCAUUACUCUGUGUAACUUACCUGUAACAAGUUAACUCUUAUGGAUAAGGAUUAAACCAAAAGGCUUAUAAUACAUGUAGAUAUUAAUCAAAUCUCCAUGAUGAUAAUGAGUAUCAUUAUUAUGGUAAUUGGCUAAUGAGUUAGAAGAAUUGUAAUAAUAUCGUCUAAUUAUCAUGAUGAUGAUCCUCCUGUUGUUGUUGAUGAUGCUAAUAAUGAUGAUAAGGAUUUUGGAUGGUAAUGAAAAUUGUUAUAUUACUAUAACUGUUGCAGUAAAAAUUUAAAUAAGCUGAUGAGUUUUUAGUACAAAAAUAAAGGUACAAAGUCAGGUAAAGUAAAUUGCUGAAAAUGAUUGGAUGGAUAAGGUUAUAAAGUGUUACUUUUAAUGGUAAUUUGAUGAUUAUUGUUGGUAACACGCAAAAGAUGAUUAUUAUUACUGUUGAAUUGUAUUCCAAUAAAUCAAUCGUUGGAUAAUGUAUACACCUUGAAAAUUGGCCUUUUAAAGAUCCAGGAAACAUUGAAUAAUCAACUGGGACAACGUGAAAUAAUAGUAAUCAUCAUUAUCAUCAUUUGAUUAUCAAUCACUGGGAAGCAAACGAAUCAUAUGUUAUUUUCAAGAGAUAUAAUUGAAAUUUUCUUAUUGGUAAACCAAUUGAUUGUUGGCCUGAUUGUUUUUAAGUAUCAUCAUCAAUACCAUCAAGGGAAAACUAUUAUAUUGCUGUUACUGUUUUUUUCUUACCAAACCAAAGGCCUUAGUCGAUUGCUACAGAUCAAAUGAUGGGCCAACUUUGCGUGAUAAAUUAAUCAAUCAAGGUAUUAUAGCUUAAUUGAUAUAAUCACCAUGAUUAGUUAAUAAUAAUAAUGCUAAUAUUAUCACUAUUACUAUAAAAACCAUUGAUUAGAGAAAUCGAUUGAUCAAAAGAGGAUAAAUAUUGUUAAUUGGAUAGUUUAACUGAUUUCAUCAUGAAUGCAACUACCUUUUAAUUGCGAUGAUCAAGAGGCAAUGAAGUUUUCAGUCAAAAUUGAUGAGACAAUGUGAAUAAAAGUGAAAAUUCAUAACAUGAUAAACUAAUCAAUUGAUGGAUUAUUGUUGAUUAACUAAAAGACAUGAAGGAUAAUCUAAUCCAGUAAAAUUGUUUAUAAUAUUGUGAACAAAGAAGCUCAAGUGCAAGGUGUGUAUGUGGAGGUGGAAUCGGUAGUUUGAUGAAAAAUUGAAUGAUUAACACCAAGGGGAUUCUCAGGUUAUAUCAUCAAAUUGAACAAUUUAAUGUUGAUCCGUCAAUCUAACUGAUACUUUCCGUUGACAGGAUGGUUUAAAUUUCGAAACAAUAUUUUUGGGUGUUUAUCUUCAAAGAAUAUGUCGAUUAUCAUCAUCACCAACACCAUCGCCAUCAAUUACAUGAUCUAUUAAUGAUUAAGAUUGUGUUUUCCUUUUCUUAAUAACAAUGGUUAAUCUUCUGGGUUAUCAUCAUAAAAAAAAUUGAUCGACUAUCAACUUACCUAUUGGUUGGUGGGGUGUCCAAGAUUAUGAUUAACUUGAAUAUUGAAAAAAUUAUCCAAGUUAAUCAAUAACAAAGUCCAAUCAAUAUUUAAUCACCGAAACCCAUAGAGAAAAUGAAAUGAUCAACAACACUAAUCAUAUAUUCAUAAUAAGGUUGAUUGUUAAUCAUUGGAGUUAAUCAUAGUUUGAUUAUAAUAACAAUACUAAUCGUCGGACGACCUGCGGUUAAACCAUAAUAACAAUUUAACAUACAUUUUGUUUUUUCACGUUUUCAAAGUAAAUUAGUUGAUUGAUUAGCAUCAAUUUUCAUUCAUUGUUAAAUUGUUUGGACCAAUUUUGCACUUUAACAAACCAACAAUGAAGAUUUUUGUUUUGUUCUCAAUUAGUUUCAUUUUAAUUACAAUUAACGAGCGACUUUUAUUUUCUCUUCUCUAUCCAAUCAAGGAAGCAAUUAAAUUAGACAAGUAUAAAUGAUAUUAAAAGCUGGAGAAAAGAGGAAAAAGCUAAAUUGUCAACAAAUUAUCAUUAUUAUUGAUUGAUUAAAAGGCGAAGUGUUCGCAAUUUAA